rnacentral:rRNA from 1 species
GAUGAACGCUGGCGGCGUGCCUAAUACAUGCAAGUCGAGCGAACAGACGAGGAGCUUGCUCCUCUGACGUUAUCGGCGGACGGGUGAGUAACACGUGGAUAACCUACCUAUAAGACUGGGAUAACUUCGGGAAACCGGAGCUAAUACCGGAUAAUAUAUUGAACCGCAUGGUUCAAUAGUUAAAGACGGUUUUGCUGUCACUUAUAGAUUGAUCCGCGCCGCAUUAGCUAGUUGGUAAGGUAACGGCUUACCAAGGCAACGAUGCGUAGCCGACCUGAGAGGGUGAUCGGCCACACUGGAACUGAGACACGGUCCAGACUCCUGCGGGAGGCAGCAGUAGGGAAUCUUCCGCAAUGGGCGAAAGCCGGACGGAGCAACGCCGCGUGAGUGAUGAAGGUCUUCGGAUCGUAAAACUCUGUUAUUAGGGAAGAACAAAUGUGUAAGUAACUAUGCACGUCUUGACGGUACCUAAUCAGAAAGCCACGGCUAACUACGUG